rnacentral:lncRNA from 1 species
GUACCAGCACUCAAGAGCAGAAAAUUGAAGCAAAAAUAAGCAGGAGUGGGUGACUAUUCUACACCCUGGAAAACUGCAACAGGUGUGAGCCACUGCACCCAGCCUGUUUUUUAAGAAGUCAUUCUGCAUUCAAAAUGUGCAGCUAGCUCCCGUUCCCUACAGACAGGACUGCUGUUCCCAACCAAGACUGUUAUGACCCAAAGUAACAGAGCUGAGUGGCUCCAUGCAGAAGUCUGUGUUCAACAUCUGUCAUGCUGGAGAUCAUUAAUGUUCAAUUGCUUCCUAUUGUCUUCAUGUCAUUCAACUUCAUUUCAUUGUCAUUGCUUCAGCUGGGGGAUUAAUCAACUAUUUAUGAGAAGACAGGACUUGGAGUCAGGGCAGUCACAAUGGGGUUAUAGUCUGAGCAAUGGUGGGGAAAGCAAGUCAUGGUUAAAAGACUCCUAGUUUGUGACAGUUUGUUGACACUUUAAUUAAAUAAACAUAUUUGAGAAUA